CCACUGAAUUUUAAUGUUUGUU
rnacentral:snRNA from 1 species